GCUUAACGUUGUCCUGCUAGAGAAACUAUUAGACUAGAGUGAGAUAGAGGCAAGUGGAAUUCCAUGUGUAGCGGUAAAAUGCGUAAAUAUAUGGAGGAACACCAGAGGCGUAGGCGGCUUGCUGGGUCUUUACUGACGCUGAGGCACGAAAGCGUGGGGAGCAAACAGGAUUAGAUACCCUGGUAGUCCACGCCGUAAACGAUGAGUACUAAGUGUCGGGAUUACUCGGUACUGAAGUUAACACAUUAAGUACUCCGCCUGAGUAGUACGUACGCAAGUAUGAAACUUAAAGGAAUUGACGGGACUCCGCACAAGCGGUGGAUCAUGUUGUUUAAUUCGAAGAUACACGAAAAACUUUACCAGGUCUUGACAUACUCUGCAAAGCUAUAGCUAUAUAGUGGAGGUUAUCAGGGAUACAGGUGGUGCAUGGUUGUCGUCAGCUCGUGUCGUGAGAUGUUAGGUUAAGUCCUAAAACGAGCGCAACCCUUGUC
rnacentral:rRNA from 1 species